rnacentral:rRNA from 1 species
UACGAAGGGUGCAAGCGUUACUCGGAAUUACUGGGCGUAAAGCGUGCGUAGGCGGUUUGUUAAGUCCGUUGUGAAAGCCCUGGGCUCAACCUGGGAAUUGCAGUGGAUACUGGCGAGCUAGAGUGCGGUAGAGGAUGGUGGAAUUCCCGGUGUAGCGGUGAAAUGCGUAGAUAUCAUUUGGAACGCCAAAGGUGAAAACAGACAGCUGGGGAUGUGCUGACGCUGAGACACGAAAGCCAGGGGAGCGAACGGG